rnacentral:rRNA from 1 species
AGAGUUUGAUCCUGGCUCAGGAUGAACGCUGGCGGUCUGCUUAACACAUGCAAGUCGAACGGAGUACUUCGGUACUUAGUGGCGGACGGGUGAGUAACGCGUGAGGAUCUGCCCUCAGGAGGGGGACAACGACUGGAAACGGUCGCUAAUACCCCAUAUGCCGAGAGGUGAAAUGUUUUUUCGCCUGAGGAUGAGCUCGCGUCAGAUUAGCUAGUUGGUGGGGUAACGGCCUACCAAGGCGACGAUCUGUAGCUGGUCUGAGAGGAUGAUCAGCCACACUGGGACUGAGACGCGGCCCAGACUCCUACGGGAAGCAGCAGUGGGGAAUUUUCCGCAAUGGGCGAAAGCCUGACGGAGCAAGACCGCGUGAGGGAUGACGGCCUAAUGGUUGUAAACCUCUUUUCUCUGGGAAGAUAAUGACGGUACCAGAGGAAUAAGCCUCGGCUAACUCCGUGCCAGCAGCCGCGGUAAUACGGAGGAGGCAAGCGUUAUCCGGAAUUAUUGGGCGUAAAGCGUCCGUAGGUGGUUAAUCAAGUCAGCUGUUAAAGAGCGGAGCUUAACUCCGUUAGAGCGGUUGAAACUGAUUGACUAGAGUUUGGUAGGGGUCGAGGGAAUUCCCAGUGUAGCGGUGAAAUGCGUAGAUAUUGGGAAGAACACCGGUGGCGAAAGCGCUCGACUGGGCCUGAACUGACACUGAGGGACGAAAGCUAGGGGAGCGAAAGGGAUUAGAUACCCCUGCAGUCCUAG